AUCCUAAUACAUUUGGCCCAAUAAAGGGCCCAAUUGUGUAAACCCUAGCCUAACUAGCAGAUAGCCUCAGAGGCCACCAUCGCCCCACGCCGCAACAGCACCCGCGCAUUGCGCACGUCGCCCUUGCACGUCGCGCAUGUUGCCCCGCACAACGCACGUCUUCCACUACUUCCAUACUUGCGAGAAAUUGAUCUAAACGGCAGCACAUGUAAAAAAAAUAACAGGAUAGAUAGAUUUUUUUUCAUUUUUUUGUAUAUCUCGGCUAUAAAAGGCCGAUUUUAAUUUGUAAAGGGGGUUAGACAAAUGAUAUAUUGAAAUAGAGAGAAAAUACAAAGGUAAAGAAUCAGAAAAGAAAAAUUUUGGAAGGUGAUUUUCUUCAUUUCUUUUAUUGCUUUCUCUGUUAUUUUUUCUUUUUUUUUGGGUGUGCAAAACAGAAAUAAGGAGGAGAAGAGAAGGUUCUUACUAGUGGUGGCGCGCCAUUGAUGCCCUUGCUGCGUUGCGUCCGAAUCGGAGUUGAAAAGGGGAGGAUUUCGGUGAGAAGCAGAAGAGAAAGAAGCAGUCCUUGCGACUGCUGUUGCUGAAAUUGGAAUGGGGUUUUGAUUUGGGUUUGAAAUGGAUUUUGUUGGCUGCAAAUGAAAUGGGGUUUUAUUAAUGGGCUAUUUACCUUUUUAAUCAUUUUCAUUUUUCCAUCAUUUCAAAAUUAUGAUUUUUGGUUUUUAAAUUUUGCUAUGAAAUAUUGAAAUUGUUUUAUUUUAAUCCCAUUUAAACGCAGUGCGU
rnacentral:lncRNA from 1 species